rnacentral:other from 1 species
ACGGUUAUAAAUCAACAUAUUGAUUUAUAAGCAUGGAAAUACCCUGAGUGAAACAACGAAUUGCUGUGUGUAGUCUUUGCCCAUCUCCCACGAUGGGCUUUUUUUUAA